AUUGAACGCUGGCGGAAUGCUUUACACAUGCAAGUCGAACGGUAGAGGGGGCAACCCCUUGAGAGUGGCGAACGGGUGAGUAAUAUAUCGGAACGUGCCCAGUCGUGGGGGAUAACGUAGCAAAGUUACGCUAAUACCGCAUACGAUCUAAGGAUGAAANCGGGGGAUCGCAAGACCUCGCGCGAUUGGAGCGGCCGAUAUCAGAUUAGGUAGUUGGUGAGGUAAAGGCUCACCAAGCCAACGAUCUGUAGCUGGUCUGAGAGGACGACCAGCCACACUGGGACUGAGACACGGCCCAGACUCCUACGGGAGGCAGCAGUGGGGAAUUUUGGACAAUGGGCGCAAGCCUGAUCCAGCAAUGCCGCGUGCAGGAUGAAGGCCUUCGGGUUGUAAACUGCUUUUGUACGGAACGAAACGGUGAGCUCUAAUACAGUUUGCUAAUGACGGUACCGUAAGAAUAAGCACCGGCUAACUACGUG
rnacentral:rRNA from 1 species